CUGAUACUGCCAGAAAUGUUUGUCCUUCAGUCCAACACACUUCUGUCAGUCAUGCUAGUUCAAAUCCCUUAUGUGGGAUCGAAACAAAAUAGUUUUUGCUCUUUCCAUUCUAACCAAUCUAGUCCCAUGGUGAUACUUGCCUGAAACUGGUGGUGAGCAGUCCUCUCAGUGUUUUACAGAGAUUAAUGAGUUUGUCUUCUCAAUGUCCCCCAGAGGCAGGAAAGCUUUGUGCAGAAAAGGAAACUGGGAAUCCAGGGAGAUUAAUGGAUUUGGUAAAGAUUACAAGGGAAGUAGUGGCACAGAGGUGAUGAGCUUUCUUAUCUCCCAGUCCUGUCCUCACAUCAGGAGUCAUCUUGCCAGGAAAAACUGCUGUUUCUAUUACUAUUAGUAGGUUUUUUUUAUUAUUAUUUUACACUGAAUAUAGCCUAUUUGGCUUCUUAUUGAUGAAAAUAAGAAGCUAUGUAUUCCCUGAGAAACAGAUAAUUUCAGGUAAUAACAAAUGGAGAACACAAGGAGAUACCUUUAUAUUUAUGGAUGUUCAAUGUAAGAAGAUACAGGAAGGGAUUUCUUUUGCCCUAAGUUCAUCUUGCAAGUUGACUCAUAAUAGACAAAAUGUUAAGGACAUAGACAGUGCAGAGAGCUACUUAUAUGGAGGCUACUUAUUUCCUAGUUCCUAGUUUGCUAUUGUAUACAUCAGACCAAAUGUCACAGUUAAGUAGAAUACCUCCAUUAUGACAAUCUUUGUAGCUGUUAUGGGUAAGACCAAAUUCUGCAUGCCCCUGAGCUACAGGAAAUUCAGACAUUUCUCUCCAUCCCAGUGCAUAACGUUUGUCUCAGGCAGAUGUCCAAGUAAAUUGGAAAAGAUUCCUAUAGUAUCAUGGAAAAGCAAACCAGUUAUGGAGUAUCAGAAGACCAUCCGGAGUAAUCAGAAACUGAGCAGUAGGAGGUACCAAACUGGAUCUUCUUUUGCGCUGUGGAAUAGUUCUAGCAUCACUUCUGAUCAGAGUACAUUGAUCUGAAUUUGAGACUGAACUCCUUACAAAAAUCAGAGGCAGCAAUGAAGACCAGGAAUGCAAUGAUGUCCAGGAAGGCAAUGAUGUCCAAGAAGGACCAUGUUCCAUGGUCUUUGGAGAGAUCUUGUCCUUACUUUUGCCUGCUGCAUUUAGGAGUUUUGUUACCUCAAUCCAAAAUAAAGCUGCUCUUAAAA
rnacentral:lncRNA from 1 species